UACGGAGGGUGCAAGCGUUACUCGGAAUCACUGGGCGUAAAGAGCGCGCAGGUGGUUAAUUAAGUCUGAUGUGAAAGCCCACGGCUUAACCGUGGAGGGUCAUUGGAAACUGGUUGACUUGAGUGCAGAAGAGGUAAGCGGAAUUCCUGGUGUAGCGGUGAAAUGCGUAGAUAUCAGGAGGAACACCGGCGGCGAAGGCGGCUUACUGGACUGUAACUGACGUUGAGGCUCGAAGGCGUGGGGAGCAAACAGG
rnacentral:rRNA from 1 species